GAUGAACGCUGACAGAAUGCUUAACACAUCAGCAAUUGAUUGGUGGCGGAAGGGUGAGUAACGCGUAAAGAACUUACCUCACAGUUAGGGACAACAUUUGGAAACGAAUGCUAAUACCUAAUACUGUGAGAGAGCUUUGAGUCCCAGUAGCUAGUGGGAGAGGUAACGGCGCAACAAGGCGAUGAUGGGUAGCCGGCCUGAGAUGGGGAUCGGGCACAAGGGGACUGAGAGACGGCCCUUACGCCUACGGGAGGCAGCAGUGGGGAAUAUUUGACAAUGUACCAAAGUCUGAUCCAGCAAUUCUGUGUGCACGAUUAAGUUUUCGGAAUGUAAAGUGCUUUCAGUUGGGAAGCGUUACCAACAGAAGAAGUGACGGCUAACUACGUGCCAGCAGCCGCGGUAAUUC
rnacentral:rRNA from 1 species